rnacentral:rRNA from 1 species
UACGUAGGUGGCGAGCGUUGUCUGGAUUUACUGGGCGUAAAGAGCGCGCAGGCGGUCGAUCAAGUCGGAUGUGAAAGCCCCCGGCUCAACUGGGGAGGGUCAUUCGAUACUGGUCGACUCGAAGGCAGGAGAGGGAAGCGGAAUUCCCGGUGUAGUGGUGAAAUGCGUAGAUAUCGGGAGGAACACCAGUGGCGAAGGCGGCUUCCUGGCCUGUUCUUGACGCUGAGGCGCGAAAGCUAGGGGAGCAAACGGG